rnacentral:rRNA from 1 species
CACGUAGGGCGCAAGCGUUGUCCGGAAUUAUUGGGCGUAAAGAGCUCGUAGGCGGUCUGUUACGUCUGCUGUGAAAACCCGGGGACGUUAACCCUGGGCUUGCAGUGGAUACGGGCAGGCUAGAGGCAGGUAGGGGAGAAUGGAAUUCCCGGUGUAGCGGUGAAAUGCGCAGAUAUCGGGAGGAACACCGGUGGCGAAGGCGGUUCUCUGGGCCUGACCUGACGCUGAGGAGCGAAAGCGUGGGGAGCGAACGG